rnacentral:lncRNA from 1 species
AGACAGAGUAAGUGGUAAAAGCUUUGUGAAGGAAAUCAUUCAGUGGAAAAUUAUGUGGGAGGAAAAGAAUCGGAUGAGAGAUUUUUAACCGAAGCUAUUGUUGGAGUAUGGUUGAUUUAGUUGGUUGCUGGAAUUUCGGGGACGAAAUUCUAUAAGGAGGGAAGAUUGUCACAGCCCGUCCCGGAAUUUUAAUUCCAAGGACGUGAAAAGACCAAAAUGCCCUUAAGCGGGACUAAGGGACGAAAAUUUAACAAUUGGAUUUACAUUAGUAUGUUUAAAGUUGUGUUUGGGAUUUAAGUAGGGCGUCCUACCCUGAUUCCCUCCCCAUUUCCCGUAUGUACUCUCUCUCUUCCUCAGACCUCACUUUCUCUCUCCCUCUCCUUCGAACUCACACGGACCACCACAAAACCACCCUAAAUCUAUACCAACGUCAAGUUUGAGACCACCAUUGGAAUCCUGAGGACUUCACGAUCACGUUGGUAUCCAUUUCAGGUAAGUUUUGCUUAGGAAAACCCCUAGUUUCCAAGUUCCCGUGAAGAGCACUGUUCAUGAUCUUCGAAUUGGCUUUGUUUUAGGUGAAACCAAGCUCACAGUGAGCUUAAGGAAGUCCCAAGGAAGCUCGGAGUGCUUCGUUGGAAGUUUUUGGACGUAAGAACACGGAGAUCGACAAGUUUAAAGUUUGGCCGGAGCUUUCGAGGCUCUUUCCGGCGAAUCCCCGGCGAGUUAGGAGUUGAGGUAGGUAUCAAUCUCUUCGUCUCGUCAAGUACUACAACUUUCCUUUUUGUUUCACUCAAUUUCGUUGAGUAUUGAAGAAGUUAUACUCAUUUGAAAAAUACCCAGUUUCCGGCGACCUCCGAGGCUUUCGAGGCAGUUUUCCGGCCAAACCACGGCGAACUAGGUGUUGUACAAGGUACCAUUCUCUUUGUCUCUUCAAGGGCUACAACUUUCGUUUUUGAAUCACUUGAUUUCGUUGAGAAAUGACAAAGUUAUGGCAAUUUGAAAAACUGCCCAGAAAACGGCCGCCGGAAAAACCAGUCCGGCGACCCAAGGAAGAAGAUGAUGCGCGUGGGGGCGCGUGGGCCGUGCUUUCCUUGGCGCGUGGGGGCGCGUGCUACAGUAAAAAAAUUAAUCUAAAAAUAUGUCGACGUCCGUGACGUCGAGUAGAUCACCGUGGUAUAUUCAUAUACCCAAUUUGAGCAAUAUAUGAGGAGUUAUUAGCUAAGAAUUAGGUUAUGCGUUAAAUAACGUUAAUUCGGUUAUUUCUCGUAUAGGCGAGGCUUGUACGGACGUUGGGCAUAACUAAGGGAGGCUCAGGAACCUACGACACGUCGAUGUAUUCUGUGAGUGGGCCGUUUUGUUUUCCGUAUAUAUAUAUACUUGACGUUUCCCAGAAAUUGAAUUGAAAUGAAAAUAUGUUUAAAAUGAAAUGCAUAUGAGUUAUGUGGAAAAACGGGAAGUGAAAUACCAUGCAUAGAAUUGAUAUGAAAAGUAUAUAGAAAUGUGAGUUGAAAUGCCAUGCAUGAAUUAAUAUAUGAUGCAUAUGUAUGAAUUGGUGCGGUGGACGCACAG